rnacentral:rRNA from 1 species
GGGGAAUUUUGGACAAUGGGGGAAACCCUGAUCCAGCCAUCCCGCGUGUGCGAUGAAGGCCUUCGGGUUGUAAAGCACUUUUGGCAGGAAAGAAACGUCGCGGGCUAAUACCCCGCGGAACUGACGGUACCUGCAGAAUAAGCACCGGCUAACUACGUGCCAGCAGCCGCGGUAAUACGUAGGUGGCAAGCGUUGUCCGGAAUUAUUGGGCGUAAAGCGCGCGCAGGUGGUUUCUUAAGUCUGAUGUGAAAGCCCACGGCUUAACCGUGGAGGGUCAUUGGAAACUGGGAGACUUGAGUGCAGAAGAGGAAAGUGGAAUUCCAAGUGUAGCGGUGAAAUGCGUAGAGAUUUGGAGGAACACCAGUGGCGAAGGCGACUUUCUGGUCUGCAACUGACGCUGAGGCGCGAAAGCAUGGGGAGCAAACA